rnacentral:tRNA from 1 species
GCCUGGGUGGCUCAGUUGGUUAAGCUUCUGACUUCCGCUCAGGUCACGAUCUCACGGUUUGUGGGUUUGAGCCCCAUGUCGGGCU